UUAUCAAGAAAAUUUGCGUUACAAUCUUUUUCCGGAUAUUCAAAAUUAGCGCUUAAACAAAUAAAGUUGGAGAUAAUUUUUCACUUUCUAUAAACGCUUUUAAUAUUAGUAAAUAUGUUUUGUUGUUUGUUGUUUUAUUUUUUAGUUCUUUAUGGAUAAUAUUAAUUAAUUAAUUGAUAUUAUUCAAAACCCCGUUUAUAAAAUAACGCUGGUCAGGGGAAGUAAUUGUUGCGGUCCCUGAUUUUGUUUGUUGUCUAUGAUUAUCGUUCGUGCAAAUGGGGGCGCUGUUUCGAAAUUUGAAAAACAACACGAUUCGGCAAUUUAUUUGGAUUUCGGAGAUCCUGGUCCCGGCUGAAAUUUAGAGUAUUGGCACUAUUGCAGCUGUAGCCUGUAAACCAUACAUUCAACAUGAAAAGGACUGUCAGGAUGCUGCAUAAAAUGGUCUUAGCUAGAGCCUAGAAUGAUAAUUUCUUGGUAAUAUGCUGCAAGUAAAUGACAUGGAGCAGUUUUUCUUACCAAUCAUUCACGAAUUCGAAAACCUAGCUAAACGCCAUUUUCCGGUACA